rnacentral:rRNA from 1 species
GCUGGCGACGUGCUUAACACAUGCAAGUCGAACGGAAAGGCCCUGCUUUUGUGGGGUGCUCGAGUGGCGAACGGGUGAGUAACACGUGAGUAACCUGCCCUUGACUUUGGGAUAACUUCAGGAAACUGGGGCUAAUACCGGAUAGGAGCUCCUGCUGCAUGGUGGGGGUUGGAAAGUUUCGGCGGUUGGGGAUGGACUCGCGGCUUAUCAGCUUGUUGGUGGGGUAGUGGCUUACCAAGGCUUUGACGGGUAGCCGGCCUGAGAGGGUGACCAGCCACAUUGGGACUGAGAUACGGCCCAGACUCCUACGGGAGGCAGCAGUGGGGAAUAUUGCACAAUGGGCGGAAGCCUGAUGCAGCAACGCCGCGUGCGGGAUGACGGCCUUCGGGUUGUAAACCGCUUUCGCCUGUGACGAAGCGUGAGUGACGGUAAUGGGUAAAGAAGCACCGGCUAACUACGUGCCAGCAGCCGCGGUGAUACGUAGGGUGCGAGCGUUGUCCGGAUUUAUUGGGCGUAAAGGGCUCGUAGGUGGUUGAUCGCGUCGGAAGUGUAAUCUUGGGGCUUAACCCUGAGCGUGCUUUCGAUACGGGUUGACUUGAGGAAGGUAGGGGAGAAUGGAAUUCCUGGUGGAGCGGUGGAAUGCGCAGAUAUCAGGAGGAACACCAGUGGCGAAGGCGGUUCUCUGGGCCUUUCCUGACGCUGAGGAGCGAAAGCGUGGGGAGCGAACAGGCUUAGAUACCCUGGUAGUCCACGCUGUAAACGGUGGGUACUAGGUGUGGGGUCCAUUCCACGGGUUCCGUGCCGUAGCUAACGCUUUAAGUACCCCGCCUGGGGAGUACGGCCGCAAGGCUAAAACUCAAAGGAAUUGACGGGGCCCCGCACAAGCGGCGGAGCAUGCGGAUUAAUUCGAUGCAACGCGUAGAACCUUACCUGGGUUUGACAUGGAUCGGGAGUGCUCAGAGAUGGGUGUGCCUCUUUUGGGGUCGGUUCACAGGUGGUGCAUGGCUGUCGUCAGCUCGUGUCGUGAGAUGUUGGGUUAAGUCCCGCAACGAGCGCAACCCUCGUUCACUGUUGCCAGCACGUUAUGGUGGGGACUCAGUGGAGACCGCCGGGGUCAACUCGGAGGAAGGUGGGGAUGACGUCAAGUCAUCAUGCCCCUUAUGUCCAGGGCUUCACGCAUGCUACAAUGGCUGGUACAGAGAGUGGCGAGCCUGUGAGGGUGAGCGAAUCUCGGAAAGCCGGUCUCAGUUCGGAUUGGGGUCUGCAACUCGACCUCAUGAAGUCGGAGUCGCUAGUAAUCGCAGAUCAGCAACGCUGCGGUGAAUACGUUCCCGGGGCUUGUACACACCGCCCGUCAAGUCAUGAAAGUUGGUAACACCCGAAGCCGGUGGCCUAACCGUUGUGGGGGAGCCGUCGAAGGUGGGACUGGUGAUUAGG